AUUUUUAUAUACAGUUUAUAUUAAAUUCCAUUAUUUUGUUGAUGUUUACAAAAAAAAAAAAGUAUGCUUUGCAAAAGAAGUCUUUAGAUUUCGUAUGUCGUUCUUAACAUUGACGGGAAGGUUAUUUUCUAUAACUGACAGAUGUGAUGUGACAUUUGCUGCAGAUGAUUAUCAUAUCGCUUUGCUCCGAUGACGCAACUGUCUCUAGGUUGUUCGUACGUCUUAGAAAACGUCGAGUGCGAUUCGCGCUAACUUCGAUCCGAAUUUUUGGUUACGCUCGCUCGUAUUGCGAUUUUAAUAUUUUUUAUGCGAUUCUUCGAUUUUAUUUUAUGAUCUUCAGGUUGAUAUAUCGCUACUACAACGGAAUUUAGAGCAGUGGUAUUGGUUUGCGAGAUGAAGACUCGGAGCGAAUAUCAUUUUAAAAAUCGUAUUAAUGUAGCAAAGUAUAAGAGCGAUAUUUGUUAUUUUAAUUUUUUAAAAAUGUCAUUUUUGUAAUUUUUCUUACGCAUUAUGUACUUAAAAAAAAGGAAAGACUUUUUUUUUUUCCUUUUAGAUGCAACACCUUCCUAAUUUGCAUAAAUCCCUUGUAGGAGCGUAAGAAGCUAUCACCAUAAAUCUUGCCAUCUUUUAUUGCAAAUUUUAAACGUGAAUACGAAAGACUAAAUAUAUCAAAACAAAAUGUUAAAAUUAUGCAAAUUAAUAGCAAGAGAAAAAGAGAUCGAAUGCAAAAUCGUUCGCUUUUAGUUUGGUCACGAUGUGUUGGUUUGUUUUUCGCUCUGAUUCAGUUAGAGGAAUCGGUCGAGUGUUGAGGUAUGUUUACAUUUCUAUUUUUUCUAGUUAGAAAAAGAAUUAGCAUUUUUUCUCCCCUCUAGUAUUUUGGCUUAUAUCAAUCAACAACAUAACACCGCGUUAACUUGGCAUUGAUCUCGACUAGCGAUGCGAAACUUGCGAUUUUUUUUUUCCUCUCUCUUGUAAGUAAACAAAUCUAGACAAUGGCAAUUGGUAGCUCAUAAAUUCCACUAAAUCACGCGAUGUU
rnacentral:lncRNA from 1 species